rnacentral:rRNA from 1 species
CGAACGCUGGCGGCAGGCCUAACACAUGCAAGUCGAGCGCCCGUAGCAGUACGGGAGCGGCAGACGGGUGAGUAACGCGUGGGAACGUGCCCUUUAGUUCGGAAUAACUCAGGGAAACUUGAGCUAAUACCGAAUACGCCCUUCGGGGGAAAGAUUUAUCGCUAAAGGAUCGGCCCGCGUAAGAUUAGCUAGUUGGUGAGGUAACGGCUCACCAAGGCUAUGAUCUUUAGCUGUUCUGAGAGGAAGAUCAGCCACACUGGGACUGAGACACGGCCCAGACUCCUACGGGAGGCAGCAGUGGGGAAUAUUGGACAAUGGGCGCAAGCCUGAUCCAGCCAUGCCGCGUGAGUGAUGAAGGCCUUAGGGUUGUAAAGCUCUUUUACCAGGGAAGAUAAUGACGGUACCUGGAGAAUAAGCCCCGGCUAACUUCGUGCCAGCAGCCGCGUUAC